rnacentral:tRNA from 1 species
GUCUAAGUGAUGAAAUUGGUAAACAUAGUGCACUUAAAAUGCACUGCCAUACGGCUUAUAGGUUCAAGUCCUUUCUUAGACA